GCGGGCGUAGCUCAGCUGGCUAGAGCGCUUCCUUGCCAAGGAAGAGGCCGAGAGUUCGAAUCUCUUCGCCCGCU
rnacentral:tRNA from 1 species